rnacentral:rRNA from 1 species
UGCCAGACUCCUACGGGAGGCAGCAGUGGGGAAUAUUGCACAAUGGGGGAAACCCUGAUGCAGCGACGCCGCGUGAGUGAAGAAGUAUUUCGGUAUGUAAAGCUCUAUCAGCAGGGAAGAAAAUGACGGUACCUGACUAAGAAGCCCCGGCUAACUACGUGCCAGCAGCCGCGGUAAUACGUAGGGGGCAAGCGUUAUCCGGAUUUACUGGGUGUAAAGGGAGCGUAGACGGCAUGGCAAGUCAGAUGUGAAAGCCCGGGGCUCAACCCCUAGAGUGCAACUGAUACUGUAUAACUUGAGUGUGAGAGAGGGAAGCGGAAUUCCUAGUGUAGCGGUGAAAUGCGUAGAUAUUAGGAGGAACACCAGUGGCGAAGGCGGCUUUCUGGCUCAUAACUGACGCUGAGGCGCGAAAGCGUGGGGAGCAAACAGGAUUAGAUACCCUCGUA